AAUUAUUUCAUCUUCAACAGCAAAACUAUGCCAAGUACUUGUUUUGUUAACGGUUGCUCAAGUAGAGCUGACCGUGACAAGAUGUCUUUCCAUAGCUUCCCCGCUAUUAUAAAACAUCAAGAUAAUAAAACGCUAGAGUUGUCAGCUAAGAGGCGCUGCGAGUGGAUUGCAGCAGUUAAUAGACAAAAAAAACCAACCAAGUUCUCGAAAAUAUGCUCUGCUCACUUUAAUUCGGGUAAACCAGCUGCAUUAUAUGACGUCACCAGUCCUGACUGGGUUCCUAGUUUAUUAUUGUCUGCAUCAGUAAGGCAACCACAAGAUAAAAAGACAGACACCUUUACUCUCCACAGAACUUUAAAAGUUGCAAGAGGGUGUUUGACAAAAACAGAAUUAUCCAAUGUUGAAAUCAAUGUCUUCAGUAACCAUUGCAGUGGAAAUAGCGGCUUCACCAACUGAUGUAGUA